GUUUGAUCCUGGCUCAGGACGAACGCUGGCGGCGUGCCUAAUACAUGCAAGUCGAACGCUUCUUUCCUCCCGAGUGCUUGCACUCAAUUGGAAAGAGGAGUGGCGGACGGGUGAGUAACACGUGGGUAACCUACCCAUCAGAGGGGGAUAACACUUGGAAACAGGUGCUAAUACCGCAUAACAGUUUAUGCCGCAUGGCAUAAGAGUGAAAGGCGCUUUCGGGUGUCGCUGAUGGAUGGACCCGCGGUGCAUUAGCUAGUUGGUGAGGUAACGGCUCACCAAGGCCACGAUGCAUAGCCGACCUGAGAGGGUGAUCGGCCACACUGGUGGACUGAGACACGAGCCCAGUACUAGCACUACGGGUAGCGCAUGCAGUAGACCGCCGAAUCUUACGGAGGCAAUAGGAUCUCGCAUGACGAGUCUGACCGAGCAACGCCGCGUGAGUGAAGAAGGUUUUCGGAUUGUAAAACUCUGUUGUUAGAGAAGAACAAGGACGUUAGUAACUGAACGUCCCCUGACGGUAUCUAACCAGAAAGCCACGGCUAACAACGUGCCAGCAGCCGCGGUAAUACGUAGGUGGCAAGCGUUGUCCGGAUUUAUUGGGCGUAAAGCGAGCGCAGGCGGUUUCUUAAGUCUGAUGUGAAAGCCCCCGGCUCAACCGGGGAGGGUCAUUGGAAACUGGGAGACUUGAGUGCAGAAGAGGAGAGUGGAAUUCCAUGUGUAGCGGUGAAAUGCGUAGAUAUAUGGAGGAACACCAGUGGCGAAGGCGGAUCUCUGGUCUGUAACUGACGCUGAGGCUCGAAAGCGUGGGAAGCAAACAGGAUUAGAUACCCUGGUAGUCCACGCCGUAAACGAUGAGUGCUAGUGUGUUGGAGGGUUUCCGCCCUUCAGUGCUGCAGCAAACGCAUUAAGCACUCCGCCUGGGGAGUACGACCGCAAGGUUGAAACUCAAAGGAAUUGACGGGGGCCCGCACAAGCGGUGGAAGCAUGGUGGUUUAAUUCGAAGCAACGCGAAGAACCUUACCAGGUCUUGACAUCCUUUGACCACUCUAGAGAUAGAGCUUCCCCUUCGGGGACAAAGUGACAGGUGGUGCAUGGUUGUCGUCAGCUCGUGUCGUGAGAUGUUGGGUUAAGUCCCGCAACGAGCGCAACCCUUAUCCUUUGUUGCCAGCGGUCGCGAGCUCGGGAACUGCAGAACGGAGACGUGGAUACUCAGUGAUAAACUGGAGGAGAGGUGGGGAUGACGUCAAGUCAUCAAUGGGCCCUCUACAAUGAAACGCAGGGCUACACACGUGCUACAAUGGCGCAUACAAAGAGAAGCGACCUCGCGAGAGCAAGCGGACCUCAUAAAGUGCGUCGUAGUCUGGAUUGGAGUCUGCAACUCGACUCCAUGAAGUCGGAAUCGCUAGUAAUCGUGGAUCAGAAUGCCACGGUGAAUACGUUCCCGGGCCUUGUACACACCGCCCGUCACACCAUGGGAGUGGGUUGCAAAAGAAGUAGGUAGCUUAACCUUCGGGAGGGCGCUUACCACUUUGUGAUUCAUGACUGGGGUGAAGUCGUAACAAGGUAACC
rnacentral:rRNA from 1 species